AAAGCAGCUAGCUCAGGAAGGAGAGGUCACGCUUGUCCCAAGCGCCCGGAGAGAGGGCAGCCACCUGCCGCCCUGGGGACCUGGAGCAGUGGCCCGGGAGGUUGUGUGCAAGUGACAUUGAGGAGAAACCAUGCAAUUAUCCAGCUGUAUUUACACCAUUAAGGGAGUUCUUUCUGGAUCACAGGGAGGUGGGUGGACAAGCACACAGAGCUCACUGCUGAACUACAGCAAUUGGGUAAGUUCUCCCAUUGCCUUCAUUGGUACUGCGUGGCUUCCAAAACUGUAAGGAGUUGAUGGAGAAAACAUCUGUGUAGUUCACAUUACUAGAGAAAUUUGUUUAUUAUACUUUGCACUGAGGUUGUUGCUAUUCUUGUAUGUAGUGUGCCCAGUAAACAGUUUGAUUUUUGAUUGCCUUUUAAGCUUUUCAGAUGACCUACAUGAAGC
rnacentral:lncRNA from 1 species